AAGUAAGUUUGUUACUGGUAUGAGCUUUCGUGUGCAUGCACACUUCUUCAGAAACUUCGUUUGUAUCUGAAUAAGUGUGCAUGCACACAAAAGCUCAUACCUAUAACAAACUGGAAGAA